GAUGAACGCUGGCGGCGUGCCUAAUACAUGCAAGUCGAGCGAACAGACGAGGCUCUUGCUUCGCUUACGUUAGCGGCGGACGAGUGAGUAACAGGUGGAUAACCGGCCGAUAAGACUGACGUAACGUCAGGAGACCUGAUCUAAUACCGGAUAUGAGGGUGAAACGCAUGGUUCAAUGGUCAAAAAGGUAUUUGCUGUCCCUAGGACGUGUAUCCUGGCCGGAUUAGCUAGUUGGUAAGGUAACGGCGUACCAAGGCAACGAUCCGUAGCCGACCUGAGAGGAUGAUCAGCCACACUGGAACUGAGACACGGUCCAGACUCCUACGGGAGGCAGCAGUAGGGAAUAUUCGACAAUGGGCGAAAGCCUGACGCAGCAAUGCCGCGUGUGUGAUGAAGGUCUUCGGAUCGUAAAACACUGUUAUUAGGGAAGAACGGAUGUAUAUGUAAAUCUGCCCGUCUUGACGGUACCUACACAGAAAGCAACGGCUAACUACGUG
rnacentral:rRNA from 1 species